rnacentral:rRNA from 1 species
GACGAACGCUGGCGGCGUGCCUAAUACAUGCAAGUCGAACGCUGAAGGAGGAGCUUGCUUCUCUGGAUGAGUUGCGAACGGGUGAGUAACGCGUAGGUAACCUGCCUGGUAGCGGGGGAUAACUAUUGGAAACGCUAGCUAAUACCGCAUAAUAGUAGAUGUUGCAUGACAUUUGCUUAAAAGGUGCAAUUGCAUCACUACCAGAUGGACCUGCGUUGUAUUAGCUAGUUGGUGAGGUAACGGCUCACCAAGGCAACGAUACAUAGCCGACCUGAGAGGGUGAUCGGCCACACUGGGACUGAGACACGGCCCAGACUCCUACGGGAGGCAGCAGUAGGGAAUCUUCGGCAAUGGACGGAAGUCUGACCGAGCAACGCCGCGGGAGGGAAGAAGGGUUUCGGAUCGUAAAGCUCUGUUGUAAGAGAAGAACGAGUGUGAGAGUGGAAAGUUCACACUGUGACGGUAGCUUACCAGAAAGGGACGGCUAACUACGUG